rnacentral:misc_RNA from 1 species
AUUUUACGUAAAACUAGUUAGAUUAGAAGAUAUUUUAUAUUUUUAUACUAAAACAAAAACAUAAACUGCAUACAUUAAAUUGUUUAUGCUACUUAUACAAUGGGAAAAACUUUUCCUGACCAGAGUUAAUUACUUUUAUAUUACUUAUUCAAAAAAAGGCCUAUUUAUUCAACCCACUCUCUCUAUUAGUGCUGCCCUUUAGCCUAGGAUUCUUCUAUCCUUGCAUCACAAAUUACAACAAAAUGACUCUAAAAAGGAUUUAAUUAUUAAUUUUCUAAAACGUUUUUCUAUUGCAGAAAAUUAACGCUUUAACAUUUGUAUUACAAUUUUUUAUUAACCUUUCUCUUUCUCUCUACCUCUGCUUUAUCACUCUUCUUCUUCUUUGUUGAGAUUUUUAGUAUAGGCUAUUGUAAAUAGAAUAAUUGAUUAGAAAGUUAUAAUAAGUGAAACUAACAAGAAUAUGAUAUCAGAAGAGUAAAUAACAAGAAACAGCACAGCCCAAUUGAACGUCCAUAGGUAUAAUUUGUUAUAACUAUAAUAAUUAUAUAGACAGUAUUUAUAACGUUUUGAUCUAUUUAAAUAGGCAUUAUGUAUAAGUCAUUCCUUAAUAAAAUCCAUUGAAUUAAUGGAUUAUACUUAAAAAAUAUGUAGGGGCAGUGUAUUUAUAUUUUUCGUUAUCAUCAGUAACGUGAUUUAGUUGACCUCUGUUUGCUUAUCACUGUUUCUGUCUCUGUCUCUCUCCUUCUCUCUUUUCUUCAAUUCAACACUUAUUUUAUUCGUUUCUAUAAAGAAUUGAAAGAGAUUUAGGAUAAAUAAUUCUGUACUUCUCAAUACAUUUAUGCCAUAAUUUCCAGUGGUUAAAGGACAACAAGAAGAGAGAAGAGAGAAAUUACAAAGAAAAUAGAAAAGAUGAAUUUAGAAAGAAAUUUAUUCUUCAAAUUAAUAAUUUUACUUGUAAUAAUCAAUUGGAUUAAUGGGCAAACAACAAUUCAUUCAAAUCAUUCGGAAACGCACAAUUCACAUGGAAUAACUGUUGUCUCCUGGAGAUUCAGCUAUGUUGAAACUCCACUUUUAAUAAUCCUAUUCGUUAUAGUUGCUGGACUUUUGAAAAUAGGUUUUCAUCAAGCAAACUUUAUGUCAUCGUGUCUUCCAGAAUCUUGUAUUCUAAUUCUGCUCGGACUAGUUGCUGGAGUCGUUAUACAUCAUACGGAUAAUUCGGGCACUUUUCACCUGAGCCCAAGAUUAUUUAUGCUAUUUUUACUACCGCCAAUUGUCUUGGACUCGGCCUAUAGUCUAAAUGACAAGGUUUUCUAUCAGAAUUUGGGUACAAUUUUACUUUACGCCGUUGUAGGUACCCUCUUAAAUUGGAUAUUUAUUGGUCCAACUUUAUAUGGUCUGAGCCAAAUAAAAGCAAUGGGAGAUAUAUCAUUAUCCCUACUUGAGUGCUUACUAUUCUCUUCAUUUAUAGUUGCAGUUGAUCCAGUUGCUGUUCUAGCCAUUUUUCAAGAGAUUGGCGUAAAUAAAUGCUUAUAUUUUUUGGUAUUCGGAGAAUCAUUAUUAAAUGAUGCUGUAACAAUUGUGCUUAGUAAUACAAUGAGUACAUUUUUAUCUGUUGGUGACGUAUCUGCUAAUCAGAUAGGCCUAGGAAUAGCAUCGUUUUUUACAGUUAGUUUAGGGGGAUUGUCAAUAGGAAUUAUAUUCGGAGUUAUAACAUCAAUUAUAACAAAGCAUACAUUACACGUUAGAGUAGUGGAACCCUUAUGCAUGUUUGGUUUUGCCUAUUUAGCUUAUCUUGUUGCCGAAAUGGUGCAUUGGUCCGGUAUAAUAAGCUGUAUUGGCUGUGGUUUAGUACAAAAUUCUUAUGCAAUGUUUAAUAUAUCAAGAAAAUCUAGAACAACCGUAAAAUACUUUUCAAAAAUGUUAAGUAGUACAAUGGACGCCAUCAUAUUCCUCUUUCUUGGAAUAGAAUUAUAUACUAUCGAUCAUUAUUGGCAUUCGGGUUUUGUUCUAUGGUCUAUCUUUUUAUGCACUAUAUAUAGAUCAAUUAGCGUAUUCGGCUUAACUUUCCUGGCUAAUUAUUGGAGAGAAAAUAAAAUAAACUUGGAAGAACAGUUUAUAAUGUUUUAUGGAGGUUUAAGAGGAGCAGUCUGCUUUGCUAUAGCAUCUACUCUUACGGAAGGAAAAACUAAAAGUAUCUUUAUGACUGCUACUUUUGGAGUUAUUAUUUGGACAGUUUUCAUUCAGGGAUUAACUAUUAAACCUUUGGUUGGCUUUUGCAAAAUAAAAAAAAUGCAGUCAAGGCAAAAUUACAGUUUAUUCCAAGAAAUGAGUGAAAAUGUUUUCGACUCUGUUCUGGCAGGAAUUGAAGGAAUUACUGACGAGUAUGGUGAUACUUUAUUAUGGAUGUAUCUAAAAUAUUACGACAACCGAUAUUGUCGUCCUAUUUUACAAUCAAAAGAAAGUGAAACUGGUCCACCUUUGGUUAAGCUCUAUGAAAAAGUUACCCUCAAAGAUUCAACAACCGGUUUCCUAAAGUAUACAAGUAGUAAUCCAGCACUAGAAGAUGCUGCAAAAAACACCAUUCGAGACGUGGAAAAUGGUAUCACGACAACUCGUCCAAGCUUUAAAAAAAUGCUUAAGCGAGCUUAUUCCCUUGACACUGGAAAAACUAGACAUAUUUCAGUAGAAGGAUUGGGUAAAAUUCUCAAAAGUCAAUCUGCCGAUCGAAGAUACCAUGAUAAAAAUUUGACUAGAGAAGGAAAGCAGGAACAGCUAAAAACCCAUAUAUCGACUGCUCAAGAAGAUGUUCAAAACUGGGCUAAGAGAAAAAGACUUUUUUCAGUAUCAUCUUCAGCUCAGAAUGAAGAACAAGGCGAUAGAGGAUCUGAAGAGAAUGACGAAAGUUUUGAUAAACUUCAAACGAGCUUAUUUCAAUCUAUUGAACCAAUAGUUGAAGAGAAUGUAGAAGAAAUAACAGUUUUGUAGUAAAUAAAUAGUGUUUUACAGCCAUUGUGAUAAUUUUCAGAGUUUUAAAAAAUGAGUUAUUAGAUAGUUAUUUUAUAAAGUUAAAAAAGAGGCAGGGACAGAGAGAGAGAGAGAGAGAGAGAGAAAGAAAGAGAAAGAGAUUAACGAAGCAGUAAAAAGAAAGAACAAAAAAAGAAUCACUAUCAAUAUUUUUGAUUUGUUUAUAUUAGUAUAAUUUGUAACUGUUUUUCUUCAAAAAUUUCUGUUUCCAAUGAAUUGCACAAUUAUUAUUAUCUGCUGAGGAUAUUUUUUUCCUUUUCAUCUUUUUACGAAAUUUGAUACUUCUUCUUUUUGCUUUCUGUUUUAUAAUAAUAAUAAAAACCAUACUGAC